rnacentral:rRNA from 1 species
UACGAAGGUGGCAAGCGUUGUUCGGAUUUACUGGGCGUACAGGGAGCGUAGGCGGUUGGAUAAGCCCUCCGUGAAAUCUCCAGGCUUAACCUGGAAAGUGCAGAGGGGACUGUUCAGCUAGAGGAUGGGAGAGGAGCGCGGAAUUCCCGGUGUAGCGGUGAAAUGCGUAGAGAUCGGGAGGAAGGCCGGUGGCGAAGGCGGCGCUCUGGAACAUUUCUGACGCUGAGGCUCGAAAGCGUGGGGAGCAAACAGGGAU